UACGUAGGGGCCUAGCGUUGUCCGGAAUUAUUGGGCGUAAAGAGCUCGUAGGCGGUUCGGCAAGUCGGAUGUGAAAUCUCCACGCUCAACGUGGAGGGGCCAUUCGAAACUGCCGUGACUCGAGUCCGGUAGGGGAGUGUGGAAUUCCCGGUGUAGCGGUGAAAUGCGCAGAUAUCAGGAAGAACACCUAUGGCGAAGGCAGCACUCUGGGACGGUACUGACGCUGAGACGCGAAAGCGUGGGGAGCGAACAGG
rnacentral:rRNA from 1 species